rnacentral:rRNA from 1 species
UACGUAGGGUGCAAGCGUUAAUCGGAAUUACUGGGCGUAAAGCGUGCGCAGGCGGUUUUGUAAGACAGUGGUGAAAUCCCCGGGCUCAACCUGGGAACUGCCAUUGUGACUGCAAGGCUAGAGUGCGGCAGAGGGGGAUGGAAUUCCGCGUGUAGCAGUGAAAUGCGUAGAUAUGCGGAGGAACACCGAUGGCGAAGGCAAUCCCCUGGGCCUGCACUGACGCUCAUGCACGAAAGCGUGGGGAGCAAACAGGAUUAGAUA